CUGUAACACUGGUUCCCUUACAAUCACUGAAGUUAAGUAACAUCGAACCUGAUUAGUACCUAGAUAGGUGAUCAGUUGGGAAUACCAGGUGCUGUAAG